UUUAAUUUUUCGAUCCAAAAGAAAAUAAAAAUUAAGGGGCAAAAUUUAACAUCACCCUAAUUUAGGGGUAUUCGUGUGAAUGACCCGCGCUACUGCCGUCCCGUGCAAAAUCAAAUGCUCUUCAUUAUCUUAUCUUUGAAUUUCUCGCGUCGAGUCUUCUUCUCAAUUCUCACACUCGCAAAUUAGUGUAGAGGUUAAAAAAGCCCUCUUAGUUUCUGAGGGAACUAUGACAAUGACGAUGACCACUGCAAUGGCGUCGCCGUCCCGCCGGCUGCUUAUCGACUCUUGCUAUUGUAUCGUCAGCACUAUCCCCAAGAAUGUGGCAAUUUACCCAGCAACAGCGGUUACAAAGAAGGGGUUAUUGAAGCACUGUAUAUCCUUGCAAGGACGCCUAAGAUCUCUGGUGAAGCCAGUAUCGGCUGCUAGUUCCGGGCUAGAGGCAGAUUCAGCUGAUGAAUGCCUUAAAAAUGCAAAGAUAGUUGUUGAAUCCGAAGAAGCUGAGAAGAUACAAGUCAGAGUAGAUGUGAACGGGGAGUACACAAAAAUGGUAUUCGAUAGUGUUUUGACAAAAUUAGCAAAAUCAGAGCAACCGAUUCCAGGCUUCCGCAGGGAAAAGGGAGGAAAAACAUCCCAGGUUCCUAGGGAAUUUCUACCUCAGAUACUUGGCGAAGAACGAGUUACCAAUUCUGUUAUACGAGAAAUUAUUAACUCAACUCUUGCUGAAUAUGUGAAGAAGGAGAAUUUGGCAGUGAAGGAUAACAAAAUUAGCAUCACACAAACUGCGGAUGAACUCAUGUCAUCCUUUGCUCCGGGAAUGGAAUUCGGGUUCAAUGCCAUCUUAUGGCUUGAAAAGUCAAAAACUGAAGCCACCACAUAAACCCACAGAAGAAGAUGUACUGAAACUUUUUCUCACUGUUUAAUAUCUUAGAAUGACUUGUUAGAGUAGAAUUAGUAAUUCCUGAGGCUAAUAGAUUGAAGGAUCCUAAAUCUGUUACUGUUUGGCUUACUACUGGUUAAAGUUGAAAUUGAAUUAUGAUUUCAGUAGGCAUUUCUUGGAGCAAUAUCAUGUGAGAAUUUUUUUGCCCAGUUCACCAACUGAGCAGUUACUUCCUUGGAAACUAGCAUCAGAAAAGUAGUGAGUUUUGAAAUAAAACUGAAACAAAGAUUACAAAUCUUCCAUUUUGUUGCUGUCAUUUAGAAUUAUAUCUUAUCAUCAGCUUUUUUGGCAUCAAGAUAGUUGAUUCAAAAGGUAAAAAGGAACGGUACGUGAAAUGCUUGAAGUGGUCCUGUUUAGUGAUAAUAGUAGUGACAACAGUUAAUUAACAAGGGUUAAUGUGGAUCUUUUGCUUCACAGUUUGCAACAAAUCUAAGAAAGGCAGUGGGGGAGAUACAAAUUUUUACAUGAGGAUAUGAAAACUAAACAUAGUAGUAAAAUUUUCCAUUGUCAUUCCUGGUCUAGAGAUAUUGUUAACUAUUGUGGCUUGAUUAUGCGGCACACUAUAUGUUCAGAGAUGAUAAUUGGCAGGUAAUUAUUACAAAAACAGGGAGAAGCUAUGUAGUUGAAGGUUAAGGAUAAACUUGAAGCUAGUGGUAUGCGAGAACAUGUGUUGCAAGCUCUUGUGAUCGACAGUUUGGCACUAUGCAAAGGCUUUUUAGAGCAUGGAACGCUCGAUUGCAUGCUAACUACUCCUAUAGUCCUAUUAUGCCACUGAUAACGAGAGACCUUCCAUAGACUGUAUGAUGUUACACCUGAUGACUGGGUGUUUCUUGUAGGACUUUGUAUAAGUCCCGCAUUCAAGCUCCAGGAAAUUGUGGCUCAACAGCAAUAUGAAGAAAAUGUUCAAUCAGUUGCAGAUGAGAUUUUAACCACUAAACUCCGUGAAUGGACUAUGUUCGUGGAAAGGGGUAUGGAAAGAGGCCUCCAGAAAAGAUUUGCGUGCAACAAGUGGACUUAGAGGCCAGUAUGGCUUCUACAAUGGGAAGUAUGUGCCAAGAGAUGCAAGCAGAAAUGGAAAGAAUAUUGCAGGAAGAACGUUAGCAAGUGGCUGCUGAGCUGCAAAGAAAGAAGAACAAGGGACUUCUGAGUUACUAAGGAAACUAGAAGAGGAGCUUGCCCGCAUGGAUAUACAAGUUGGCAAAAGAACUCAAGUGAAGAUGGAUGCAUUCAUGAUCAGAAUGCAACAGGUAAACAUGUCCUAUUACUAUCCACUUGUGCAUGAAGAUCUCUGGAGUAUUAACUGCAAGAAGAAUAUGAUGACAAUUCAAUUCAUAACAUGGAUAUGAGUGACCAACAAUAUUUUCGACACUCAUAGAAGUCAAUAUAUCUUGUUUUUAUAUGAUCGUGGUGUUCAGGGCAGCUUGCACAGACCUCGACUAAUUCUCCGGGAUAGCUGUCGCCUCCUUCCACAACAAGUUACCAUGUCAUUGUUUACCAAGGGUAGGACAGAUGGAAAUAAAUCUCUAGUGUUUUUGGUUCUGCUGGGAUUUGAACUAGAGACUUCAUGUUUCUCAACUUACCUCAUGCCACACCCUUGAAUCAAAUUCUCUAGUUCUUAAUGGAAGACGAGACGAGGAAUAAACUUGUCAAUAUGUUACAUAGAUUUUAAUUUCCUUCACAGGAUUUAACCAGAAGUAAUAUAAGUUCCUAGCAGUUGAGUAUUUUUUUUUUCAUGAGUUGCAUCGUUUCUCUUUUUGCUUCUUCCUCGCUAGAAGUUUGUAAAUGAUGUAAUACAUACUUGUUAUAUUAGUUUCUCCCUGAGUCUAAGGGGAUUCCAGUAAACUAAAACAACAUCAUUCCUUUUCAGAUACUUUCAAAUGUCUAAUCCUUGUUUCUUCUUUUAAUAUCAUGUUAUUCGUCAAUUCCCUGGAUUUUUUGGCUUUCCUUCCUGCAUAAUCUCAGAUGUUAUCAGUUUCGGGGAGCUUGUGGUUUAAUUUGAUGCAAAGGGUCGUGGGGUGUGAAAAAAGCCUUUCCCUAGAUCCUGGUAUGUCAUUACUAAUGAGAGAAGUUGUCUACUUGUCCCUAUGCAAUUAGCCUUGAACAAUGUUCUACAAAGUGAGUAUUCGGACCUUCCCAUUAGUACUUGGCUUAGGAUCUGCAUUUUUUUACACAUGCAUAUAUAAUGAUGUUUAUCCUUCGUUUUCUUAAUAGCAAAGAUAAAGUACUCAACAAUGAGGACAUGAAGCUACUCAAGAAUUUUUUAUGAAUACAUUGGAGUAGUUUGAAAAUGUGUGACUAAAGCAGGCAGUAAAAUGGGAGUUGUACCAUUUUGUUCCGAACUGAUGGCCAAAUGGUUCUGCAAAGCUGUAAGUGAUUGAUCAGACAAGUAUCAAGGCUUUGAGUAGACUUCUUUCAUUUCUCAAUUAGCUUGUGACAAUUCCUAGCAUAAGUAUGAGCUUUGUUUACCGCACAAGGGCAAUUCAUCUUGAUCAUGUCAACCAGAUACCGUUCUAAUUAUUUCUAGUUGGACUCAUUCUUGUAUUCCUUCAGCUGUGUUUCAAGAAAACGAAACAUAUAGAUAGCCCUUAAACUAGCAACCAACUCUCAAGUAGAGGUGUUUAGAUCUCUGGCUAUUAGUUCAGUUAAACCGUCUACUUGAUAAUUGAUAAGAGUUAAAAGCAAAGCGAUUAUAUAUGUA